ACUUAAAUUGAAGAGUUUGAUCAUGGCUCAGAUUGAACGCUGGCGGCAGGCCUAACACAUGCAAGUCGAAC
rnacentral:rRNA from 1 species